AUUUUCAACCGCCAAUUAUCCAGUUCCUUCUCAAAACCACACUACUAGCCAUGAAGGAGUCUCCGAACCUCAAACCUCUCCAUCACCAUCACUCUCUCCUCCUCUCCUUAAUCCAUUCCCUCCACAUGGCCACGUGUCUCCCCUUCCGCUCCAUCCCCUUCAAACCCAACACCACCUCCUCCUCCUCCCGCCCCGCUAAAAUCACCUGCUCCUCCGUCACCGCCCAAUCCCGCCUCGCCAAGCAAGACCUCCUCGCCCUCAUCGCCGACCAGGACCGCGGCCUCAAGACCCAGACCGACCCCACCAAACGCGCCUCCAUCAUCAAGGCCAUCGACGCCCUGGCCGAUCUCGGCAACGGUACCGUCACCACCGGCGGCGACCUCUCCGCCACGUGGAGGCUGCUGUGGACGACGGAGAAGGAGCAGCUCUUCAUCAUCCAGAACGCGUCCGUGUUCGGCACGCGCGCCGGCGACGUUUUGCAGGUCAUCGAUGUUGACCGGAAGGUCCUCAACAAUGUCAUCACUUUCCCUCCCGAUGGAGUCUUCUUUGUUCGCUCCACCAUCGAAGUCGCUUCGCCGCAGAGAGUGAAUUUUAGGUUUACGAGUGCGGUUCUAAGAGGGAAGAGCUGGGAGUUUCCAUUGCCGCCGUUCGGCCAGGGCUGGUUUGAGUCUGUGUACCUUGAUGAUGAGAUUCGAGUUGCAAAGGAUAUCAGAGGAGACUAUUUGGUUGUAGACCGUGCUCCCUAUACUUGGAAAGAAUGAAGAUGAGGAAGUUUGCUAGACUUCUGUUGGUGGGAUACCAAUUAAUUUCUCAUUCGCUAGUUUUAUGGUGCGGCUUGGAGUUCCUUUGGAAAAGAUGUGGGCUUCCUUUUUAAUUGGAGAUAUAGUGUUAGAGGACUUUUAUGGGCAUCCAUUUUACUGAAAUGGGUCUGCUUAUUCCUCUAGGCAACAUCUUUGACAAGUGCUGGAAACCUGACUGUAGAGCCUUCUUAAGUGGUUUGAAACUGUAUACCUUGAUGACGAGAUUCGGGUUGUGAAGGAUAUCAGAGAAGACUAUUUGGUUGUAGACCGUGCUCCCUAUGCUUGGACAGAAUGAAGACGAUAAUGUUCGCCACUGACUUCAAUGUUACUCUUAGAUGGACGUAAUUGGUUGAUCUAGAUCCCAUUAUCUGCGCAUUUGAAUCUGUAUGUCAAGAUGAUGAUCUUAGAGUUGAAAAGAAAAUUUGUGGAGAUUCCUUGGUCAGAAGUCACACUGCCACCCAGUAAAAGUGAAGAGAUGAUAUAAGAGGAAUGAAGGAUAUAUGGACUGGAAUUGGAAGCAGAGAUCAGAAAAGCAUAUAAAGUGGAGAUCUUUGUGUCAUUAAGCACCAAGUAGUAAGCGUGCAAAUAUUGGUUCCCAUGGCUUUGGGUCAUCAAUUAUUCACCUGCUAAUGGCUUCAGAUUUGCUUUUUCCUGUUUAUGAUUUCCCAAUUCGUCUUUGGUAGCACUAGUUGUAAAAGAACAUUUACCCCACAUGCUUCAAUCAGAGUUCAAUCUUUCCAUUUCCC